GUGCCAGCAGCCGCGGUAAGACGAACCGUGCGAACGUUGUUCGGAUUCACUGGGCUUAAAGGGCGCGUAGGCGGGCACGCAAGUCGGGGGUGAAAUCUUUCAGCUUAACUGGAAAAUAGCCUUCGAUACUGCGCGUCUGGAGGAAGGUAGGGGCAUGUGGAACUUCCGGUGGAGCGGUGAAAUGCGUAGAUAUCGGAAGGAACGCCGGUGGCGAAAGCGACGUGCUGGACCUUUUCUGACGCCGAUGCGCGAAAGCCAGGGGGGCAAACGGGAUUAGAUACCCCAGUAGUCC
rnacentral:rRNA from 1 species